CAGCAGCCGCGGGAAUACGUAGGUGGCAAGCGUUGUCCGGAAUUAUUGGGCGUAAAGGGCUCGCAGGCGGUUUCUUAAGUCUGAUGUGAAAGCCCCCGGCUCAACCGGGGAGGGUCAUUGGAAACUGGGAAACUUGAGUGCAGAAGAGGAGAGUGGAAUUCCACGUGUAGCGGUGAAAUGCGUAGAGAUGUGGAGGAACACCAGUAGCGAAGGCGACUCUCUGGUCUGUAACUGACGCUGAGGAGCGAAAGCGUGGGGAGCGAACAGGAUUAGAUACCCCAGUAGUCCCUGUCUUUUAUAC
rnacentral:rRNA from 1 species